rnacentral:pre_miRNA from 1 species
UAAAUACUCCAUCCGUCCGGAAAUACUUGUCAUCAAAAUGGAUAAAAGGAGAUGUAUCUAGAUGUAUUUUAGUUCUAGAUACAUCUUUUUUAUACAUUUUAAUGACAAGUAUUUUCGGACGGAGGGAGUACUAA